GUCGAGCGGUAGAGAGGUGCUUGCACCUCUUGAGAGCGGCGGACGGGUGAGUAAUGCCUAGGAAUCUGCCUGGUAGUGGGGGAUAACGCUCGGAAACGGACGCUAAUACCGCAUACGUCCUACGGGAGAAAGCAGGGGACCUUCGGGCCUUGCGCUAUCAGAUGAGCCUAGGUCGGAUUAGCUAGUUGGUGAGGUAAUGGCUCACCAAGGCGACGAUCCGUAACUGGUCUGAGAGGAUGAUCAGUCACACUGGAACUGAGACACGGUCCAGACUCCUACGGGAGGCAGCAGUGGGGAAUAUUGGACAAUGGGCGAAAGCCUGAUCCAGCCAUGCCGCGUGUGUGAAGAAGGUCUUCGGAUUGUAAAGCACUUUAAGUUGGGAGGAAGGGCAUUAACCUAAUACGUUAGUGUUUUGACGUUACCGACAGAAUAAGCACCGGCUAACUCUGUGCCAGCAGCCGCGGUAAUACAGAGGGUGCAAGCGUUAAUCGGAAUUACUGGGCGUAAAGCGCGCGUAGGUGGUUCGUUAAGUUGGAUGUGAAAUCCCCGGGCUCAACCUGGGAACUGCAUUCAAAACUGUCGAGCUAGAGUAUGGUAGAGGGUGGUGGAAUUUCCUGUGUAGCGGUGAAAUGCGUAGAUAUAGGAAGGAACACCAGUGGCGAAGGCGACCACCUGGACUGAUACUGACACUGAGGUGCGAAAGCGUGGGGAGCAAACAGGAUUAGAUACCCUGGUAGUCCACGCCGUAAACGAUGUCAACUAGCCGUUGGGAGCCUUGAGCUCUUAGUGGCGCAGCUAACGCAUUAAGUUGACCGCCUGGGGAGUACGGGCCGCAAGGGUU
rnacentral:rRNA from 1 species